rnacentral:rRNA from 1 species
ACUGAACGCUGGCGGCACGCCUAACACAUGCAAGUCGAGCGGCAGCGAGACUAGUAGCAAUACUAGUUGUCGGCGAGCGGCGGACGGGUGAGUAACACGUAGGAAUCUGCCCUUAAGCGGGGGAUAACCAAGGGAAACUUUGGCUAAUACCGCAUAAUCUCGAGAGAGCAAAGCUGCCCGCAAGGGUGGCACUUGAGGAGGAGCCUGCAUCCGAUUGGCUAGUUGGUGGGGUAAUGGCCUACCAAGGCGAUGAUCGGGAACUGGUCUGAGAGGACGACCAGUCACACUGGGACUGAGACACGGCCCAGACUCCUACGGGAGGCAGCAGUGGGGAAUAUUGGACAAUGGGGGCAACCCUGAUCCAGCGAUGCCGCGUGAGUGAAGAAGGCCUUCGGGUCGUAAAGCUCUUUAGGUUGGGAAGAAGUGUAUUGGCUGAAUAAUCCAGUACAUUGACGGUACCGACAGAAUAAGCACCGGCAAACCCUGUGCCAGCCGCCGCCGUAAUAC